rnacentral:rRNA from 1 species
GUGGGGAAUAUUGGACAAUGGGCGAAAGCCUGAUCCAGCCAUGCCGCGUGUGUGAAGAAGGUCUUCGGAUUGUAAAGCACUUUAAGUUGGGAGGAAGGGCAGUAAGUUAAUACCUUGCUGUUUUGACGUUACCGACAGAAUAAGCACCGGCUAACUUCGUGCCAGCAGCCGCGGUAAUACGAAGGGUGCAAGCGUUAAUCGGAAUUACUGGGCGUAAAGCGCGCGUAGGUGGUUUUGUAAGUUGGAGGUGAAAUCCCCGGGCUCAACCUGGGAACUGCCUCCAAAACUGCAUGACUAGAGUACGGUAGAGGGUAGUGGAAUUUCCUGUGUAGCGGUGAAAUGCCUAGAUAUAGGAAGGAACGCCAGUGGCGAAGGCGAGUAACUGGACUGAUACUGACACUGAGGUGCGAAAGAGUGGAGAGCAAACAGGAUUAGAAACCCGAGUAGUCC